rnacentral:rRNA from 1 species
GCUGCAACUCGCCUGCAUGAAGUCGGAAUUGCUAGUAAUCGCAGAUCAGCAUGCUGCGGUGAAUACGUUCCCGGGCCUUGUACACACCGCCCGUCACACCAUGGGAGUCGGUAACACCCGAAGUCGGUAGCCUAACCGUAAGGAGGGCGCCGCCGAAGGUGGGAUUGAUGACUGGGGUGAAGUCGUAACAAGGUAAC